CAGUCGCCGCGGGAAUACGUAGGGUGCAAGCGUUAAUCGGAAUUACUGGGCGUAAAGCGUGCGCAGGCGGUUCUAUAAGACAGAUGUGAAAUCCCCGGGCUCAACCUGGGAACCGCAUUUGUGACUGUAGAGCUGGAGUGCGGCAGAGGGGGAUGGAAUUCCGCGUGUAGCAGUGAAAUGCGUAGAUAUGCGGAGGAACACCGAUGGCGAAGGCAAUCCCCUGGGCCUGCACUGACGCUCAUGCACGAAAGCGUGGGGAGCAAACAGGAUUAGAUACCCCAGUAGUCCCUGUCUCUUAUAC
rnacentral:rRNA from 1 species